rnacentral:rRNA from 1 species
CCUACGGGAGGCAGCAGUGGGGGAUAUUGCACAAUGGGGGAAACCCUGAUGCAGCGACGCCGCGUGGGCGAAGAAGUAUUUCGGUAUGUAAAGCCCUAUCAGCAGGGAAGAAGAAAUGACGGUACCUGAGUAAGAAGCACCGGCGAAAUCCGUGACAGCAGCCGCGGUAAUACGUAGGGUGCAAGCGUUAUCCGGAUUUACUGGGUGUAAAGGGAGCGCAGGCGGCACGGCAAGCCUAAUGGGAAAGCCCGCGGCCCAACCCCGGGACUGCAUUGGAAACUGCCGGGCUGGAGUGCCGGAGAAGUAGGCGGAAUUCCUAGUGUAGCGGUGAAAUGCGUAGAUAUUAGGAAGAACACCAGUUGCGAAGGCAGCCUACUGGACGGUGACUGACGCUGAGGCUCGAAAGCGUGGGGAGCAAACAGGAUUAGAUACCCGUGUAGUC